UCUCUAUCGAGACACGAAGGCAUCUGCUAGUGGAAGAAGAGAGGGGUGGCAACAUCCUAUGCUUGCCUAUGGACUUCCAAGCCCGGUCCUGUUGACGAAUUCAUUCCCCUUCCCUCCCUUUUUCCCAGUCUCGGCACUGCAGCCAAGUACGCCUGCCUGCCUUCCCUACACUGCGACAAAAGGGAAUGAGCCAUUCCUCUAGCCUCUCUUCUCUCCCUCCCAAGAAGAGCAACAGAAGAGGAAGAGGAGGAGUGUUUGCAAACACAGGCGUCCCUUCGUCCUUCUUUGGAAACUUCUGGAAGUGGAGGAAGAGCCCUCUCUUCUGCCUCGGCAAGGCAAACAAAGCCUACGGUCCUCCCUUCCUGCAAGAUCCCUCUGGCCAUUUCCCGCACCGCGUCCUUGCCUAUGGGAGCUCUUCCUCACCAUCUCUUAAGCCUCCAAUCCCAUGGAUUAUCACUGUUCCUAAGCCUGGGAAAUAAAGACUAAAAUCAACCCUGGAUUUAUGUGUUACUUUUGGAGAUCUGUCUGUAUCUCCCUCCCAUCUGGUGGCGGCUUUGUUUUGCUUUAAACUCUAUCUAAAUAGUUAAGUGCGGACGGAGGAAUGCAAAAGAAAUCCCGAGAUGCAAUGGAGAACAAGAGUGUAGGCAACAAGGAUAAUAGAGUUGAGAGAGACGGCAUGGGCCAACCCUUUUUUUCUUCACCCAGAGGAAUCACAAUCAAACCAGCCCCGGCAGAAGGCCACCCGGCUUUUGGGCCUGAGCACAGGCAGGGAAUCAGGGCGCGCCCCCUGGUGGCUAAGGCGAGCCAUGGCCACCGUUUCCCAGUCUUCCGUGUGCCCAGGAGGGAAUCUCCCAUCGGUGUCAGUCCAGAAGAAGAAGGAAAGGAACAAGGCCGAGAUAACGCAACACAGAUGGAGCUGAGAAGCCUUACAAUGAGCUCCCGGGCGCUCUACUGACCUUCUCGAGGGAGAGGAGGGCGGAGAGGGCGCGGAGGGAGAACUCGAGGACCACCAGCGCGGCCACGCGGGACCCCACCACCGUCAGCAGGGCCGCCGUCACCGGGAGGUGCAGCCGGUCCAGGAGCGGGCGGCGCAGGCGAAGGGCCGCCUCCUCCGCCUGCCGGUCGGGGUCACUGCCGAGACAGAGAAGGUCGUCACCACUCGUGCCACGCAACUAUGGCCUCACCAGCACCGACACAGACCACGUGGCCAGAAAUGGGGAGGCAGGAUUUGGUUGUGCCAUUAUUAUUUACCAUAUAUACUCGAGUAUAAGCCGACCCGAAUAUAAGCUGAGGCACCUAAUUUUACCAAAAAACUGGGGAAACUUACUGACUCGAGUAUAAGCCGAGGGUGGAAAAUGCAGCAGCUACGGGUCAAUUUCAAAAUGAAACAAGAUCCCAAUGAAAUUAUAUUGAGGCAUCAGUAGGUUAAAGGUUUUUCAAUAUUUACCGUACAGUAAACUAGCUCUGUAAGUGGAAAAGUAGGGUCAACAAAAACAAUAUGGUAUUAACAAUAACUUAAUAAUUAAAAAUAAUAAAUUCAUUUGUAUCUCGCCCUAUCUAUCUCCCCCUGGGGACUCAGGCCGGCUUCCAACAUAGUAACAGGCAAAUGCCUAUAUAAACAAUGCAAAGCUAGAUAGAGAUCUAUAAUUAUAUCUACUAAUUUCACAUAUGCAUUUCCCCCUGAAACGUUUGCAAAUCCACUCUCUAUAUACGUAUAUAUGCAUUUCUCUCCUGCAAUAUUUGCAAGCCCUAUAUUUUUACAUUCAUAUCUAUCUAGAAAUCUCUAUAUGUGUGUGUGUGCAUUUCCCCUGCAAUAUUUAAAAGCCCUAUAUAUCUAUAUUCAUAUCUAUCUAUCUAGACAUCUCUCUGUAUAUAGAUAAUUAUAUCUGUAUAGGAUUUGCAAAGAUGUGAGGCAAAAAUUCAUAUAUAAAAUAAUGUAUACACAUAGAUUGCAGAUAUAUAGGUACAUGGAAAUCUCUAGAUAUCUAAAUGUAUAUAGGAUUUGCAAAGACCUGCAAACCUAUGAGGAGGAAAUUCAUAUAUAAAAUUAAUGUAUAUAGAUAAAUUGAAGCAAAUAUUUAGGCACAUAGGGAUUGCAAAAGCUUGCAGGUGGAAAUGCCUAUAUAUCUGUAGCAGAGAUUAACAAAUAUUUCAGGAGGAAAUGCUUUUAUAAGACUAACUAGCUGUGCCCAGCCACGCAUUGCUGUGGCAUUGUCUGGUGGUGUUGGUGAGAAAUUGUUGAGGUAGUGGUGGUAUUGAAUGUCUGUUGUAUGGUUGUCUUUAUGUUUAGUAUGCAUUUGGUUGUUUGUGUACUGUGCAAGUGGUGAGGGUAGAGGGGGUCUAUGUCCCUGCGUAGUAUUGUAUAGUAUUUAUACGUUGUCCAUGUGUUGUGAAUGCUUGGAUUGUGUCCUGCUGCAUAGUAGAAAGGGUUGGGCUGGAUGGCCCUUAGGGGUCUCUCCAAACUCUUGUGCCUGUCCCCUGGGCUGAGUCGGUUGCUAGGAGACCAAGUGGGUGGAACUUAGCCUUCUAACUGGCAGCAAUUGGAUAAAAACAAUUAUUCCUCUCCCUGUAAUUAGGACUUUAUUUUUCUUUUCUUUUGGUUAUAUCAACCUGGAGGCGUGGAUGAUGGGUUGUGUUGUCAAAUUUCGAGGUUGGGGGGGGCCUGUAGUUUUGUUGUUUUGUCGGUCGCCGUGAUGCCCUGAUACCAUCACUCUUUUAUAUAUAUAGAUGGGUAGGCUGUUAGGAAUGGUGGGGGUUGGGGUCCAAAACACCCGGAGGGCCGAAGUUGGCCCAGGCCUAGACGAACGGGACGAAUCCAGACUCACUUGAGGCACUGGAUGUAGAGGAAGACCUUCGUCAGGCUGCAGAGGACGGAGAUGGCACAGGCGCCCACCAGCCCUGCGAGGGAGGCCAACAAAUGGAUGUUACGGUUACAGACCAGGAGUGUCAAACUUCAAAAACAAUAUUAAAAACAUUAACAUCAAAACCAGAACGUCAGCUCUUAAAAGCUAUAGGACUCAAGCAGGCCCAAACAGGCAGUUCCAUGGAAAUGCUUUAUUGAGGACCUUCUUUACAAGAUGAAAACGAAGCUAGAAGUGACGUUUUCCCGCCAAACCCCGAGUAUCUCCGCCUCCUACUUUCCCCCCUCCUCACAUUCACUCGUAUCUGUUAUAUAGUCCUUUCCCAGGCUUGAGAACCCAUCCCUGGCCAGAUGGCUCUUCUCCUUUAGACCAGGGGUCCCCAAACUAAGGCCCGGGGGCCGGAUGCAGCCCUCCAAGGUCAUUUACGUGGCCCCCACCCUCAUUUAUAAUAUAAUAUUUUUAUAUCAGUUUUAAUAAUAUAAUAUAUUGUAUAUACAUAUGAUAUUGAUAAUAAGAUUAUCAUUUUAUACAAUACUCGCUUUUCCCGGCCACGCGUUGCUGUGGCGAAGUCUGGUGGUCUGGGAAAUAAAGUAUUGAGGAAUUGGUGGUAGUUAAGGUCAAGGGUCAAGGUUUUCCCCUGACAUUAAGUCCAUUAUAAAUGGGUUAUAUAGCCUUGAGUCUACACUGCCAUAUAAUCCAGAUAAAAUCAGAUAAUCUGUAUUUUAUAGGCAGCGUAGAAGAGGCCUAAGUGAGGCCUAACUCUGCCUAUCCCCUGGGCUGAGUGGGUUGCUAGGAGACCAAGUGGGCGGAGCUUAGCCUUCUAACUGGCAGCAAUUGGAUAAAGACAAUUAUUCCUCUCCCUCUAAUUAGGACUUUAUUUUUCUUUUCUUUUUGUUGUAUCAACCUAGAGGCAUGGAUGAGGGGUUGUGCUGCCAAGUUUAGUGUUUCUGGGAUGUGUAGUUUUGUUGUUUUGUCCUAGGCCGAAAUUUCAUUACCCUUUUAUAUAUAUAGAUAAUACUAAUAAUACCAUAUAAUAAUAUUAAUUAUAUGUUAUAUAUUACAUAUAAUAUUACAGUAUAGUGGUAUAGUUCAAUAUAGUAAUAUAUAAUGCUAAUAUUGUGCUAUAAUAAUAAUAAUAAUAAUAAUAAUAAUAAUAAUAAUAAUAAUAAUAAUAAUAAUGAUAAUAAUAAGUUUAUUUGUAUCCCGCCACCAUCUCCCCCAGAGGGUACUCGGGGCGGCUCACAGAAAUAUGAAAUACAAAACAAUAACAAUAUACAAUACAUCAAUAAACAAUAACAUGCACCGAUUGUAAUAUUUGCACAUUAAUCAAAAAGAAUAAAAACACACUUAUUAAAAACAUAGAAUUUAAAAACAGUGAGGUUGUAAUAGUAGAUUAGCAAAGUGCACAUCAUAGGUUGUAAACUUAAAAACAUAGAUAAAGUGCUAUGCUAAUAAUAUAAUAUAUGGUAUGUAGAUACAGCUGCUCUAAGUCCCCUUUGGGGUGAGAAGGGCGGGAUAUAAAUGUAGUAAAUAAAUGUAGUAAAUGAAUAAAUAAAUAAUUUUAGACUUAGGCUCAGCCAUAGUCUGAAAUGACUUGAAGACACACAACAACAACAACAAUCCUAAUUAACCUGACUAUCUCAAUGGCCAGAAGCAGGCCCACACUUCCCAUUGAAAUCCUGAUAGGUUUAUGUUGGUUACAAUUGUUUUGAUUUUCAAAUAUUUUAUUGUUCUUUCAUUGUUGUUGUUGUUUUGCAAUACAAAUAAGAUAUGUGCAGUGUGCAUAGGAAUUACUAUUAUUAUGAUCUAAAACAAGCAUGGGCCAACUUCAGCCCUCCGGAUGUUUAGGACUGCAACUCCCACAAUUCCUAACAGCAUAGUCCAAAAUGUGGGGAUUUGCAAAAAGGCACCAUGAUGGAAUGGGUUGACUGGAAAGGCAUUUGUUGGCAGCUGAUUGGCUGAGCCAGCCAGGAGCCAGAAUUCGGAUUGGCUGCUGUCUCCGGCUUGCUGCUGAGAAAAACGGUUUUAACUGCCACUUUCACCUCGGAGAGUGAAGAGAGCGCUGACUGGAAACAGUCAGGAAGGAAAUGGCUGCCAACUCUCCGAAGCCUGAUUAUUUAUAAGGCAGAUGAGGCAUAUUUAAGGGGACACCAAGUCCUUUUUGAUCGUAGUACUUCCUCCUUGCUCUUUGAUCGCCGGCAGUUGUUUAUGGUGUCGUAAAUUAAAUCAAAUUAAAUUAACUUCCCCGCUUAAACGGUCCCUAAUUUCUCUACCCACAGCUGCAGCUAUCUUCAAAUUUAGGUGGACAGUAAGCUCGGGUGGACCUAUGCAGCCUGAAAGACCGUUGCAUCUGUCGAGUAGGAAAUGUAGGUACCGCUUUAUGCGGAGAGGUUAAUUUAACUAUUUUACAACACCAUAAAAAAAAAACCUCCAUCAGCGUGCAGAAGAAUGAGGAAGCACUCCAUCAAGGACUCGGUGUCACAAGUGGAUGGUGAAGCGGCAGCGCCCCCUGUGGCCGGAAUCAAGCGUACCCUCAGGAAGCGGGAAAAUGUUAAAUUGCCUCUCUGUCUGUCUAUAUAGAUGUCAUAUGUCUAAUGGCAGAAUCAUGUACCAAUAAAUUACUUGAAGAUCUCUA